GAGACUCUGUGCGCGUGCAUAUCAAUAAGCGGAGGAAAAGAAACUAACUAGGAUUCCCUUAGUAACGGCGAGUGAAGCGGGAAGAGCUCAAAUUUGGAAAUCUUCAAGGUUCUACCUUGACGAAUUGUAGUUUAUAAGAAGUGUUUUCUGUUAGUGGAGUUGGCUAAAAGCUCUUUGGAAUAGGACAUCAUAGAGGGUGAGAAUCCCGUAUUUGGUCAUUCCUCCUAGCGUUGUGAUACACUUUCAACGAGUCGGAUUGUUUGGGAAUGCAGUCCAAAAUGGGUGGUAAAUUUCAUCUAAAGCUAAAUAUUGGCGAGAGACCGAUAGCGAACAAGUACCGUGAGGGAAAGAUGAAAAGAACUUUGAAAAGAGAGUUAAACAGUACGUGAAAUUGUCAAAAGGGAAGCGUUUGACACCAGUGUUGUUUUUCCGAAAAUCAAUUACGAAUGUUUUGUUUUUGAGGAGUUAUGACUUCAUCGGCUUGCUCCUUUCUUUAUGAAACUUUCUUAAUGCACUUUUCGGUUAACAAGUCGACAUCAAUUUCUUUUGUUGUAAAAGGGUAUGAGGAAGGUGGCUUUCUUUUCGGAGAAAGUGUUUAUAGCCUUGUGCCUCUGCAAUCGGAGAGAUUGAGGUCUGUAGCGUAGAUCCUUCGGGGUUAGAUACAUUUGUGCUAAGUUAUAGCUUUUCAUAGACAACUUGUUGACUAUGUUAAGUCUUGUAGCUUACUCGCUUAUGCUAUUUUACCUACGCUUAGGAUGUUGACAGCAGUAUAGACUGU
rnacentral:rRNA from 1 species